GUAUCUAAUCCGGUUCGUGCCCCUAGCUUUCGUCCCUUGCCGUCAGGUCCGUUCUGGUGAGACGCCUUCGCCACUGGUGUCCUUCAAGGAUUACAAGAUUUCACCCCUACCCCUGAAGUACCUCUCACCUCUCCCGGCCUCGAGCCAGACAGUAUCUCCUGAAAGCCUGACAGUUAAGCUGCCAGAUUUCUCAAGAGACUUAUCCGGCCGGCUACAGACCCUUUAGACCCAAUAAUAACGGUUACCACUCGAGCCGCCGGUGUUACCGCGGCGGCUGGCACCGGUCUUGCCCGGCCCUUGCUAUGAAAUGCUUUUUAGGCAUCUCGACAGCCAGAUUUGUAACCUGGCACUCGAGGUUCCCUUAUCGCUGUUGCCAGCAUUGUAAAGUUUUCGCGCCUGCUGCACCCCGUAGGGCCUGGAUUUCGUGUCUCAGAAUCCAUCUCCGGGCUCUUGCUCUCACAACCCGUACCCGUCGUAGGCUAGUAGGUACGCUACACCCACUACUACCUGAUAGGCCGCAGACCCAUCCUUAGGCGCCGGAGCUUUUAAUCUCGGUGCAUUCCAGCAGCCGAGACUUAUAGGGGAUUAUACCCAGUUUCCCGGGUUUAUACCCAACCUAAGGGCAGGUCGUCCACGUGUUACUGAGCAGUACGCCAUGUAUUGCUACAUUCGACUCGCAUGGCUUAGUCGAACCUCGAUAGCAGUAACCUCUGGCAGGAUCAACCGGA
rnacentral:rRNA from 1 species